rnacentral:rRNA from 1 species
CUAAGAAUCUUCCGCAAUGGGCGAAAGCCUGACGGAGCGAUGCCGCGUGAUCGAUGAAGGUCGAGAGAUUGUAAAGAUCUUUUCCAACUGAGGAAUAAGAGCCGGAGGGAAUGCCGGUUUGAUGACGUUAAGUUGGGAAUAAGCCCCGGCUAAUUACGUG